AUUUAACAAGUAAAAAAAAAAAAAAUUUAAAUCAAAUAAAAUAAUUAAAAUAAAAAAAAUUAUAAAAAAAUAUGUUACAAGAAAUUAAAAUUUUGUUCUUAAGCUGAAAGUGAUUGCGACUUUUUAAGAAACAUACGAAAAUGUAAAAUUUAUUGUUGCACUCCCCCUAUUUGUUGCAUACACGGACAUUUACUAUGCCCAAUAAAACUUUGACCAACACUUCGACGUUUGUCUAACGCGGAAUACACACGCACCUAUACACACAUUACUAAAAACUCGUACUGAUAUUCACACACUUAAAUAUGUGCACAAACGUAUUAUCCAACACUACGAUGUAUAGACAACUUAAAAGCCAUAAAUGCAACAAGCUUAUUACACAUAUAUUGCAUUGUAUUUUCCAACACUGUGCCGUUUAACUUAAUAAAAAAAAUUGCUAAAAUUUCUACUAGACUACGAACUCUGUCGUAUUGCGCAACACUACAAUGUUAAACUUAUAUGCACAUACUGACUCAGGUACAAAUAUGGAAGCUUACACUCGACUAUGCACACACUUGUAUUGGCCAAUACUACGACUUAUGCACAACUCGCUACACGAAUUGAUAUUCACACUGAACUAUGCACCAUAACCUAUUGCCCAACACUACGGCGUUAAACACUAGCACCGCGCACUAAUUAAACGAGGUCCCACAUGAUGAUGAGUAAAGAGCUUCGAUGGGUUAAAACAGGAUGCUGUUUGAUGACUCUGUCUGGUACCACAAUGGAUCAAUGGUCCUUCGGUCGAGCGGACUGUAUUAUUAAAAUUAAUUUUACACCAUAAAAGCUUGAUAUGAAUAUGAAAAUUUUGAUGCUCUGUUGGAAUCGCAAAGUACUUUAUUGAAGGUUUCCAAAUUGUUAUGCGUUUUAGCAAUUAUGUGUACAAAAUUAUUAAAAGUAAUAUAAAAACUA